ACGAACGCUGGCGGCGUGCUUAACACAUGCAAGUCGAACGGUGAAGCUCCAGCUUGCUGGAGUGGAUCAGUGGCGAACGGGUGAGUAACACGUGAGCAACCUGCCCCUGACUCUGGAAUAAGCGCUGGAAACGGCGUCUAAUACUGGAUACGAGAAGGGUCCGCAUGGGCACUUUCUGGAAAGUUUUUCGGUUGGGGAUGGGCUCGCGUCCUAUCAGCUUGUUGGUGAGGUAAUGGCUCACCAAGGCGACGACGGGUAGCCGGCCUGAGAGGGCGACCGGCCACACUGGGACUGAGACACGGCCCAGACUCCUACGGGAGGCAGCAGUGGGGAAUAUUGCACAAUGGGCGAAAGCCUGAUGCAGCGACGCCGCGUGAGGGAUGACGGCCUUCGGGUUGUAAACCUCUUUCAGCAGGGAAGAAGCGAAAGUGACGGUACCUGCAGAAGAAGCACCGGCUAACUACGUG
rnacentral:rRNA from 1 species